rnacentral:rRNA from 1 species
AUUGAACGCUAGCGGGAUGCCUUACACAUGCAAGUCGAACGGAGUGGCGAACGGGUGAGUAAUGUAUCGGAACGUGCCCAGUAGCGGGGGAUAACUACGCGAAAGCGUAGCUAAUACCGCCUACUAUUGGAGCGGCUGCUAUCGGAUUCGCUAGUUGGUGGGGUAACGGCUCACCACGGCGACGAUCCGUAGCCGGUUUGAGAGGACGACCAGCCACACUGGGACGUAGAAACGGCCCAGAGUCCUAAGGGAGUCAGCGGUGGGGAAUUUUGGACAAGGGGGGAAACCCUGAUCCAGCCAACCGGCGUGUGCGAUAAAGGCCUUCGGGUAGUAAAGCACUUUUGUCAGGAAAGCGGUACCUGCAGAAUAAGCACCGGCUAACUACGUGCCAGCAGCCGCGGUAAUAC